GACGAACGCUGGCGGCGUGCCUAAUACAUGCAAGUAGAACGCUGAAGGAGGAGCUUGCUUCUCUGGAUGAGUUGCGAACGGGUGAGUAACGCGUAGGUAACCUGCCUGGUAGCGGGGGAUAACUAUUGGAAACGAUAGCUAAUACCGCAUAAGAGUAGAUGUCGCAUGACAUUUGCUUAAAAGGUGCAAUUGCAUCACUACCAGAUGGACCUGCGUUGUAUUAGCUAGUUGGUGGGGUAACGGCUCACCAAGGCGACGAUACAUAGCCGACCUGAGAGGGUGAUCGGCCACACUGGGACUGAGACACGGCCCAGACUCCUACGGGAGGCAGCAGUAGGGAAUCUUCGGCAAUGGACGGAAGUCUGACCGAGCAACGCCGCGUGAGUGAAGAAGGUUUUCGGAUCGUAAAGCUCUGUUGUAAGAGAAGAAUGAGUGUGAGAGUGGAAAGUUCACACU
rnacentral:rRNA from 1 species